rnacentral:sRNA from 1 species
AUCCGUCUAGUACGAGAGGCGAGGUGAU